AGCUUAGGGUAGGCUGCCUCAAAAGUGGAUUUGUAAGGCUCCCUCAAAGGCUCAUGAGUCAGAGGCUGGGCUCCUGUGAGUCCCACUCCCCAGCCCGUCCUGCGAAGCAUCCCGGUUGCUCACUGUGUAGAGGUUGCUCACUGUAGCAUCCUGGUAAAGUCAAUGGAGUAGGUGUCCAGCUUGUGGCCUGGAGGCUUUGCUCAGGCUGGUAGAGCAGGCAGGCGAUUCACAAGCUAAGUAACACAUCCUAAAAGUGAGCAGCCACAAGCCGGGGCAGAAGACCUUUCUCUGGACCAGGGAAGCUGACAAAGCUACGGUCCGGGUUUGGGCAGGUCUGCCCAGUUGGUACCAACUACGAUGGAGGGUAAUGCUUAGUGCUUUCCUCCAGAUCCUAGAAAGCUCCUGUAAACCCUGGGGGACACCAAGAGACCCCUAAGAUCAUGGGGCUGAAACCCUAAUGCUGUCCCUGAGCCCCUUCCCUUCACAUGGAGGAGGCCUCGGCAGACGGUCUGUUCACGGCAAGCACUACCAUCCAGCGCUAUAACUGUCACUUUGCCCCUGAUCCUGGAUCCCGAGGCUGUCCUGCUCCCCUGCCUCUGCACCCUGCAUUACUCUUGGCUGGUUCUUGCAAAGACAGCUGCCCCAAGCCCCACUUGGGGUCCUGCCCCCAGGCUCUGGACGUGCCCGGCAGGCAGAGCUUCCUCCCAGCGUCUGCACCUGAAUGCUUCUGUCCAGUGAGGAGGGUGAGCCCCAGGCUUCUGCCCAAUGUGCUGCUGUGAAUGCCCAGAUGUGGCCCUAGGAGCUGCUCAUGAGAUGCGUGCCCCAGAGCUGGAAAUCCUGCAGCCAUGACGUUGAGCCUGGCCAUCACAUGGGUGCCACAGCUGCUCCACUCGGGACAAAUUCCUCCUCGGAGGGUUCCUUUCCAGGCAGUGGAGGAGACACCAGCCGCUCCCCCGUGGCCCUCAAGUGCUCCCCCAAUCUAACAGGACUGCAGGUGGCGCCGAGAGAAGAUGGAGAGGACAGGAGCAGUGGCCUCUUGUAAUCGAGUCGCCUCGCACAGGGUGAGGGGAGCAUGUGAUGCAGACUUAAGACCCAGAGCAGUGGUUCUCAACCUUCCUAUGCUGCGGCCCUUUAAUACAGUUCCUGUGGGUCGCCACCCACAGGUUGAGAACCGCUGCCCUAGAGGAAGGGACGGGCAUGAAUGGGAAUCAGUUGGUGUGGGUGAGUCCCUAGAGCCCUCUGAGACAGAGGAGGCCAGGAGCACGUGGGAGGCUCAGGUCCCCCGAGGGGCGGGGGUGGGGAGCAGCCUCUCUGGGUGCUCCAGAAAUCUUGGCCGCAGCUACUCUGUCCUUGACCUUGUGCCACGGGUGAAAAUGACAAGUUCAUUUGUGUCAUUUGUCUAUUCAUAGUCCUGGGCCCUUGGCAUCCACCAGACACCUCUGACGUCCUGUCUGUCUUCUAGAUGGCCUCAGGACCCUCCUGGAGCAGGUGCCCAAGGGGCAGCCAGCCAGCCCGCCCUGUCCAGUCCUCUGUGCUAGGUCCCCUCCCUCCUCCUUGCCAAUUUAAAUCUUGGUGUCCUCUGCACAGUGACAGCUUCAUAGGUGACCGGCCAGAUACUCUGGGGCACUACUUCAUGCUAGAGCCUUGAUGUUCAACCAAGGCACACUGGUAUGCCACGAGAGGAGCUUAGGUGUGCCAUGAA